AACUGGUCUGCCUGCUGUCCU
rnacentral:piRNA from 1 species